GACGAACGCUGGCGGCGUGCUUAACACAUGCAAGUCGAACGGAAAGGCCCUGCUUUUGUGGGGUGCUCGAGUGGCGAACGGGUGAGUAACACGUGAGUAACCUGCCCUUGACUUUGGGAUAACUUCAGGAAACUGGGGCUAAUACCGGAUAGGAGCUCCUGCUGCAUGGUGUGGGUUGGAAAGUUUCGGCGGUUGGGGAUGGACUCGCGGCUUAUCAGCUUGGUGGUGGGGUAGUGGCUUACCAAGGCUUUGACGGGUAGCCGGCCUGAGAGGGUGACUGGCCACAUUGGGACUGGGAUACGACCCAGACUCCUACGGGAGGAAGCAGUGGGGAAUAUUGCAAGAUGGGCGGAAGCCUGAUGCAGCAACGCCGCGUGCGGGAUGACGGCCUUCGGGUUGUAAACCGCUUUCGCCUGUGACGAAGCGUGAGUGACGGUAAUGGGUAAAGAAGCACCGGCUAACUACGUG
rnacentral:rRNA from 1 species